CGGAAUGAGUAGCGAGAUAGAGGUGGGAAUCCUCUAGGCCGAAUAUCCAAGGUUUCCAGAGUAAAGCUGAUCUGCUCUGGGUAAGUCGGGGCCUAAGGCGAGGACGAGAGUCGUAGCCGAUGGACAACAGGUGGAGAUUCCUGUACUGCGGUAUGACAGAACUGUGGGGACACGUAAGGAAAGCGGAAGCCGGGAAUGGAAAGCCCGGUGCAAGCGGGGUACCAGCCACUCAGGCAAAUCCGGGUGGCAAUGGGAAGCCGUGAUGCGGAGCGAAAUAAAGUAGCGAAGUCCGUGAGCCAUGCGUCAAGAAAAGCCGCUAUUGUUUAUACCGUACCCGUACCGUAAACCGACACAGGUGGAUGAGGAGAGAAUCCUAAGGCCGGCGGAAGAAGCAUUGUCAAGGAACUCGGCAAAAUGGCCCCGUAACUUAGGGAUAAGGGGUGCCUGGGAAACCAGGCCGCAGAGAAUAGGCUCAAGCAACUGUUUAGCAAAAACACAGGUCUAUGCGAAACCGAAAGGUGAGGUAUAUGGGCUGACGCCUGCCCGGUGCUGGAAGGUUAAGAGGAGAGGUUAGCGGUAACGCGAAGCUUUGAAUUUAAGCCCCAGUAAACGGCGGCCGUAACAAUAACGGUCCUAAGGUAGCGAAAUUCCUUGUCGGGUAAGUUCCGACCCGCACGAAAGGCGUAAUGAUUUGAGCGCUGUCUCGACAAUGCAUCCGGUGAAAUUGAAGUACCAGUGAAGAUGCUGGUUACCUGCGCCAGGACGGAAAGACCCCAUGGAGCUUUACUCCAGUCUGGUACUGGGACUCGGUAUUGCAUGUACAGGAUAGGUGGGAGGCUAGGAGAUGGUAACGCCAGUUGCCAUGGAGCCGCUGUUGGGAUACCACCCUUGCAGUAUUGGGUUUCUAACCAGCCGCCGUGACCCGGCGGUGGGACAAUGCCAGACGGGGAGUUUGACUGGGGCGGUCGCCUCCGAAAGGGUAUCGGAGGCGCCCAAAGGUUCCCUCAGAAUGGACGGAAACCAUUCGAAGAGUGCAAAGGCAGAAGGGAGCUUGACUGCGACACCGACGGGUGGAGCAGGUACGAAAGUAGGGCUUAGUGAUCCGGUGGUAUUAAGUGGGAAUGCCAUCGCUCAACGGAUAAAAGCUACCCUGGGAUAACAGGCUUACCACUCCCAAGAGUUCACAUCGACGGAGUGGUUUGGCACCUCGAUGUCGGCUCAUCGCAUCCUGGGGCUGUAGUAGGUCCCAAGGGUUGGGCUGUUCGCCCAUUAAAGCGGUACGCGAGCUGGGUUCAGAACGUCGUGAGACAGUUCGGUCCCUAUCCGGCGUGGGCGUAGGAUAUCUGAGAGGAGCUGUCCUUAGUACGAGAGGACCGGGAUGGACGGGCCGCUGGUGCAUCGGUUAGACUGCCAAGUCUACGGCCGAGUAGCCAAGCCCGGAAGGGAUAAACGCUGAAGGCAUCUAAGCGUGAAGCCCCCCUUAAGAUGAGAUAUCCCAUUCGAAAGAAGUAAACCCCCUUGAAGACGACGAGGUAGAUAGGGCAGAGGUGGAAGUGCAGCAAUGCAUGGAGCUGACUGUUACUAAUCGGGUGAGGGCUUGACC
rnacentral:rRNA from 1 species